GAUUACAUCUAUAUUAAUAAUAGUAUUGAUUUUUUCUUGGAUGCUGAUUCUCUUGGUUUUCAAUUCUCAGUGGCAAUUUGAUGGUUUUUUUGACCAUUCCAUUCCAGAUAAUUCUAACAAAGACGCAUCAGGAAUUCUGGAGUGUUGCCUCAGCAACAGUAGCAAGCACUGCUGGAAUUACCACCAUUUCUUGGUGCAGAUUCAUGAAACCUGCUCCAGAGCCACUUGAUCAACAGUUCUUUGUUCAACACCUUUUUCAGAUCCUAAAGACCACACAAAAGAUGCAUCUUCUAGUUAUGCUAUCUCAACUGCUAAGGAGAUAGAGUGAACUGGAAUGAAGGACAGCUAAUGAUGCUUAUCAAAUUGAAGCCAGUGGUGGUGGUGAUUCUGAUGGGCGGAGGAGAAGGACAGGUGGUGGUGGUGGAUGGUGAGGGCUGCGGAUGGUGGUGGUUGUGAUGAUGAUGGUGGAGAAUAUACAGGAAGUGGUAUGGUUGACAUGUUUCCGAUUUAGGGAAGUGUUAGUGAGAUUGAAACUUAUGAACGCAUGAGGAACCAUCCUGAGCAUGCUUUGCCAUUCCAGAAAAUAUUCCUCUCAAAAAUUUUUUUGUGGGUCUGCCCAGUUACAGGUUCACAAUCCCUUCACGCGUAUAAGUCAGUACGCUGCUCAGAUUUCAUUUCUACAGGGUGCAAAUCUUCUGCAUAACCUCUUGUAUGCUGUAACUUAUUGUUUUCAUUAAACUUACGUAAUGGGGAUAAGGCGGAGCAGCUACUGAAUUCCAACACUAAAAGCCAUACGAUAUUCCUCUGAUUGUAGUGGAUCCAUUUUGUUAAUAAUGCUCGAGUUUCUUGUCUGAC